rnacentral:lncRNA from 1 species
UUUCUUUGCAAUUCCUCUUGAUUUUGAUCAUCCAAAAACCUAUAUUACAUAAAAAAAAACUAGAAUUAAAGCAUUGAAAUCAAAAUUAAAGCAACUAAAAAAAACAAAACAAAAGGAUAUGGACUAGCUAGUCUUUAAAAAGACUAAGUCCAUCAAAAAAUUUGAUCCUGAUUUAGCUUGCCCGGAUCCCAUAUGAAGCUUGCAUCCC